rnacentral:misc_RNA from 1 species
GGAAAGAUGGGUCAUCUUCAACAUUCCUUAAUGGUCCAGUUGGGAUUUUGGCUAUUCUUCACUAGAUUCUUUACACUACAAUUCAGGUUUUUCAGUUUUUAGUUUACUUUUCAUGUUUUAUUUCUUCUUUUACUUAAAUUCUCUUGUAAUUAACAUGGAUUAUGAGCAGUUAUUUUAGAUUUUGGAGUUGGAGAGGCAGUAUUUGGGUGAUUUUGUGGAUUUAAAUUGGGUUAGUCCCAAUUUAGUGAAAUUCAUGAAGUUUAAUCCAUUUCUUGUGUACUUAUUGACAUACUUAGUGUAGGGCCCCAUUAAGUAUUAUUCUUAAUCUUUGAUUGAAGGACUGAAAGGAGAAAAAU